rnacentral:rRNA from 1 species
GACGAACGCUGGCGGCAUGCCUAACACAUGCAAGUCGAACGAGACCUUCGGGUCUAGUGGCGCACGGGUGCGUAACGCGUGGGAAUCUGCCCUUCGGUUCGGAAUAACUCAGGGAAACUUGAGCUAAUACCGGAUAAUGACUUCGGUCCAAAGAUUCAUCGCCGAGGGAUGAGCCCGCGUAGGAUUAGCUUGUUGGUGAGGUAAAGGCUCACCAAGGCGACGAUCCUUAGCUGGUCUGAGAGGAUGAUCAGCCACACUGGGACUGAGACACGGCCCAGACUCCUACGGGAGGCAGCAGUGGGGAAUAUUGGACAAUGGGCGAAAGCCUGAUCCAGCAAUGCCGCGUGAGUGAUGAAGGCCUUAGGGUUGUAAAGCUCUUUUACCCGGGAUGAUAAUGACAGUACCGGGAGAAUAAGCCCCGGCAAACUUCGUGCCAGCCGCCGCGGUAAUU